AUUGCACGCUGGCGGCAGGCCUAACCCAUGCAAGUCGAACGAGUGGCGGACGGGUGAGUAAUGUCUGGGAACCUGCCUGAUGGAGGGGGCUAACUACUGGAAACGGUAGCUAAUACCGCCUACCAUCAUCUGUUCCCAGGUGGGAUUAGCUUGUUGGGUGGGUAACGGCUCACCAAGGCGACGAUCCCUAGCUGGUCUGCGAGGAUGACCAGCCACACUGGAACUGAGACACGGUCCAGACUCCUACGGGAGGCAGCAGUGGGGAAUAUUGCACAAUGGGCGCAAGCCUGAUGCAGCCACGCCGCGUGUAUGAAGAAGGCCUUCGGGUUGUAAAGUACUUUCAGCGGGGAGGCGUUACCCGCAGAAGAAGCACCGGCUAACUCCGUGCCAGCAGCCGCGGUAAUAC
rnacentral:rRNA from 1 species